AGUAGCAGUCGAGCGGAUCUUGUCCUAUCGGGACAAGGUUAGCGGCGGACGGGUGAGUAACACGUGGGUAACCUGCCUGUAAGACUGGGAUAACAUUCGGAAACGAAUGCUAAUACCGGAUACGCAGCUUGGUCGCAUGACCGGGCUGGGAAAGAUGGAGCAAUCUAUCACUUAUAGAUGGACCCGCGGCGCAUUAGCUAGUUGGUGAGGUAACGGCUCACCAAGGCGACGAUGCGUAGCCGACCUGAGAGGGUGAUCGGCCACACUGGGACUGAGACACGGCCCAGACUCCUACGGGAGGCAGCAGUAGGGAAUCUUCCGCAAUGGACGAAAGUCUGACGGAGCAACGCCGCGUGAGUGAUGAAGGUUUUCGGAUCGUAAAGCUCUGUUGCCAGGGAAGAAUGCUUGGGAGAGUAACUGCUCUCAAGGUGACGGUACCUGAGAAGAAAGCCCCGGCUAACUACGUGCCAGCAGCCGCGGUAAUACGUAGGGGGCAAGCGUUGUCCGGAAUUAUUGGGCGUAAAGCGCGCGCAGGCGGCCUUGUAAGUCUGUUGUUUAAACUUGGGGCUCAACCCCAAGUCGCAAUGGAAACUGCACAGCUUGAGUGCAGAAG
rnacentral:rRNA from 1 species